UGUGGAUAUGCGAAUUUAACGGGAGAACAUGCAUUCCAAGAAUCGGAGGCUUUUUCGAUCGAAAUUAUUGUUUGAUUCGUUUUUGCUUCACAUGGAUUUAUCUUAUUCUGAUUUGUUGAUCUGAAUUGGCCGAAGUUUUGUGAAGAGAGGAAGAAAUGGAGUACGAAGUGGAAGGGGAAGCGAAAUUGUGUCCCAAUCAAGGAAGUCCAGGGAUUUCCCUGCCGAGGAAUAGUGAUUGAAGCAUUAUAAAGCAUAAAGAUGCUAGUGGACGGAGCUUCUUCCAAUGCUGUUUCUACACAUUCAUUAGCCUAAGCUCUGGCUAGAUUUACUUGUCAGAUUCUUACGAGGUAUAGCCCAAGGGAGUUAAACAAGUAAAACCUUCAGGUUAAAUCUACCAGAUCAACCGUUCACUUCCAUGUCUUGUGAAUUGACAGUGAGAAAUGACCAAACUUUGUAAUGAAUUAAUAUGUUGUCAGCAACAAGAAUCCAGAGCAGAUCGUGUAGAUGUUGGUGUUGGUGUUGGUGUUUGUGUUGCGAGACUCCAUAAAGCUAUGUCGUUUUGUCUCUUUCUAUUUAUCUUAUUUAUAAUGCCUAAAAGUUACGUUAUUGAAGAUCUCGUUUGUAUCCUUUUUCCCCCUCCUCUUUAGUAAAAACAUUCUUGGGUCUGCUUAAACUUAGUUGAGCAAGUUAUUGUUUGAAUAUUGUAGCUAAUUGAUUGGGUUGGGAACAAUUUGAAUUGCUUAGGCGGUUGUACUUAAAAAUUGGAUCGAAACAACCUUAAUUAUUGCAAGGUAAAAGCAAAGCAGAAAAGGGAAGGG